rnacentral:rRNA from 1 species
AUUGAACGCUGGCGGCAGGCUUAACACAUGCAAGUCGAACGGUAACAGGAAGAAAGCUUGCUUUCUUUGCUGACGAGUGGCGGACGGGUGAGUAAUGCUUGGGAAUCUGUUUCAUGGAGGGGGAUAACUACGGGAAACUGUAGCUAAUACCGCGUAAUAUCGAGAGAUUAAAUGUGUGGGACCGUAAGGCCACAUGCCAUGAAGUGAGCCCAAGUGGGAUUAGAUAGUUGGUGAGGUAAUGGCUCACCAAGUCGGCGAUCUCUAGCUGGUCUGAGAGGAUGACCAGCCACACUGGGACUGAGACACGGCCCAGACUCCUACGGGAGGCAGCAGUGGGGAAUAUUGCACAAUGGGCGCAAGCCUGAUGCAGCCAUGCCGCGUGAAUGAAGAAGGCCUUCGGGUUGUAAAGUUCUUUCGGUGGUGAGGAAGGUUGGCGUGUUAAUAGCACGUUGACUUGACGUUAGCCACAGAAGAAGCACCGGCUAACUCCGUGCCAGCAGCCGCGGUAAUACGGAGGGUGCGAGCGUUAAUCGGAAUAACUGGGCGUAAAGGGCACGCAGGCGGUGACUUAAGUGAGGUGUGAAAGCCCUGGGCUUAACCUAGGAAUUGCAUUUCAUACUGGGUCGCUAGAGUAUUUUAGGGAGGGGUAGAAUUCCACGUGUAGCGGUGAAAUGCGUAGAGAUGUGGAGGAAUACCGAAGGCGAAGGCAGCCCCUUGGGAAUAUACUGACGCUCAUGUGCGAAAGCGUGGGGAGCAAACAGG